rnacentral:RNase_P_RNA from 1 species
CGAGCCGGCUGGACGGCCGCGUGGGGAUUCUCAGGAUCCUCCCGAGGAACGUCCGGGCUCCACAGGGCAAGGUGGUGGCUAACGGCCACCCGGGGUGACCCGCGGGACAGUGCCACAGAAAACAGACCGCCGGGGACCUCGGUCCUCGGUAAGGGUGAAACGGUGGUGUAAGAGACCACCAGCGCCUGAGGUGACUCAGGCGGCUAGGUAAACCCCACCUGGAGCAAGGUCAAGAAAAGCCGUCGGAAGACGGCUUUGCGCGGACGUUCGAGGGCUGCUCGCCCGAGUUCGCGGGUAGACCGCAGGAGGCCGGCAGCAAUGCCGGUCGUAGAUGGAUGGCCGUCUCCCCGGCGACCGCAAGGUCACCGGGCGACAAAACCCGGCGUACAGGCCGACUCGUCCG